GAAAUGCGAUAAGUAAUGUGAAUUGCAGAAUUCAGUGAAUCAUCGAAUCUUCGAACGCACCUUGCGCCCUUUGGUAUUCCGAAGGGCACGCCCGUUUGAGUGUCAUUGUAAUCUCACCUUUACGGUUUCUGACCGUGGAAGUGGACCUGGAUGUCGUCGGCAUCGUUCGACCCGUCUGAAAUGUAUGAGUGUACCCUGCCGUGCAGCGUAUCUGGUGUGAUAAGCAUCUUCACCGGAGUAAUGCCUCCUUUGGCGCGUCUGUGGUGUGGGCUCUACGCUUCAAACCGUCCUUUGUGGACAAUCUAUGACGAUUUGACCUCAAAUCGGGUGGGACUACCCGCUGAACUUAAGCAUAUCAAUAAGCGGAGGAAAAGAAACUAACAAGGAUUCCCCUAGU
rnacentral:rRNA from 1 species